AACGAACGCUGGCGGCAGGCUUAACACAUGCAAGUCGAGCGCCGUAGCAAUACGGAGCGGCAGACGGGUGAGUAACGCGUGGGAGUCUACCCAUCACUACGGAACAACUCCGGGAAACUGGAGCUAAUACCGUAUACGUCCUUCGGGAGAAAGAUUUAUCGGUGAUGGAUGAGCCCGCGUUGGAUUAGCUAGUUGGUGGGGUAAUGGCCCACCAAGGCGACGAUCCAUAGCUGGUCUGAGAGGAUGAUCAGCCACACUGGGACUGAGACACGGCCCAGACUCCUACGGGAGGCAGCAGUGGGGAAUAUUGGACAAUGGGCGCAAGCCUGAUCCAGCCAUGCCGCGUGAGUGAUGAAGGCCCUAGGGUUGUAAAGCUCUUUCACCGGUGAAGAUAAUGACGGUAACCGGAGAAGAAGCCCCGGCUAACUUCGUGCCAGCCGCCGCGGUAAUAC
rnacentral:rRNA from 1 species